rfam:Glossina morsitans morsitans, isolate Yale, WGS project CCAG01000000 data, contig: ctg10007821
AAGUCCCACCAUCGGAAGCGUGAUAAUGACAACCAGCCUCCGCGGACUAAUACCUAACGGUGGGAGAGUGGUAGAAGAAGUGUGUGGGGGGUAGUUUUGACUACGUAGAAGUCGUAUUUGCUGCUAUUAAGAACCAGCAGUAUCUUUUGAAGAUUUUCUACCCCCAGCUCGC